rnacentral:rRNA from 1 species
GGCGGCCUCGGGUCCUCCCGGGGCCCGCCCGUCUGAGGGUCGGUUGG